UACAGAGGUCCCAAGCGUUGUUCGGAUUCAUUGGGCGUAAAGGGUGCGUAGGAGGGCAGGUAAGUCAGUGGUGGAAUCCCCGAGCUUAACUUGGGAACUGCCGUUGAUACUAUCUGUCUUGAAUACCGUGGAGGUGAGCGGAAUAUGUCAUGUAGCGGUGAAAUGCUUAGAUAUGACAUAGAACACCAAUUGCGAAGGCAGCUCGCUACACGAAUAUUGACUCUGAGGCACGAAAGCGUGGGGAUCAAACAGG
rnacentral:rRNA from 1 species